GAUGAACGCCGGCGGCGUGCUUAACACAUGCAAGUCGAACGAUGAUCUCCAGCUUGCUGGGGGGAUUAGUGGCGAACGGGUGAGUAACACGUGAGUAACCUGCCCUUGACUCUGGGAUAAGCCUGGGAAACUGGGCCUAAUACCGGAUAUGACUUCUCAUCGCAUGGUGGGGGGUGGAAAGCUUUUUGUGGUUUUGGAUGGACUCGCGGUCUAUCAGCUUGUUGGUGGGGCAAUGGCCUACCAAGGCAACGACGGGUAGCCGGCCUGAGAGGGUGACCGGCCACACGGGGACUGAAACACCACCCAGACUCCUACGGGAGGCAGCAGUGAGGGAGAGUGCACAAGUGGCGCAAGCCUGAUGCAGCAUCGCCGCGGGGGGGAUGACGGCCUUCGGGUUGUAGACCACUUUCAGUAGGGAAGAAGCCCUUCGGGGUGACGGUACAUGCAGAAGAUGCGCCGACUAACUACAUGCCAACAGCCGCAGUAAGAC
rnacentral:rRNA from 1 species